AAUCAACGCUGGCGGCGUGCCUCAGACAUGCAAGUCGAACACGAAAGUCCCCUUCGGGGGAUGAUUAGAGUGGCGCACGGGUGAGUAACACGUAGGUAAUCUACCUUCGAGUGGGGAAUAAACUACAGGGAAACUUAGAGCUAAUACCGCAUAAUGCAGCGGCACCACAUAGGUGACAGUUGUUAAAGCAUUUAUGCGCUUGAAGAGGAGCCUGCGGCAGAUAGCUAGUUAGGUAAGGUAAUGGCUUACCAAGGCUACGAUCUGUAACCGGCCUGAGAGGGCGGACGGUCACACUGACACUGAAUAACGGGUCAGACUCCUACGGGAGGCAGCAGUCGGGAAUUUUGGGCAAUGGGCG
rnacentral:rRNA from 1 species